GGGCAUAGCUCAGUGGUAGAGCGUCUCGUUGCCAACGAGAAGGUCGAGGGUUCGACCCCCUUUGUUUUAUUCA
rnacentral:tRNA from 2 species